GAUGAAGAACGUAGCGAAAUGAGAUACGUAAUGUGAAUUGCAGAAUUCAGUGAAUCAUCGAGUCUUUGAACGCACAUUGCGCCCCCUGGUAUUCCGGGGGGCAUGCCUGUCCGAGCGUCAUUGCUGCCCUCAAGCACGGCUUGUGUGUUGGGCCUCCGUCCUCCUCCCGGGGGACGGGCCCGAAAGGCAGCGGCGGCACCGCGUCCGGUCCUCGAGCGUAUGGGGCUUCGUCACCCGCUCUUGUAGGCCCGGCCGGCGCUUGCCGACACAUCAAUCUUUUUUCCAGGUUGACCUCGGAUCAGGGAGGGAUACCCGCUGAACUUAAGCAUAUCAAUAAGCGGAGGA
rnacentral:misc_RNA from 1 species